GCAGUCGAGCGACAGAUAAGGAGCUUGCUCCUUUGACGUUAGCGGCGGACGGGUGAGUAACACGUGGAUAACCUACCUAUAAGACUGGGAUAACUUCGGGAAACCGGAGCUAAUACCGGAUAAGAUUUUGAACCGCAUGGUUCAAUAGUGAAAGACGGCCUUGCUGUCACUUAUAGAUGGAUCCGCGCCGUAUUAGCUAGUUGGUAAGGUAACGGCUUACCAAGGCAACGAUACGUAGCCGACCUGAGAGGGUGAUCGGCCACACUGGAACUGAGACACGGUCCAGACUCCUACGGGAGGCAGCAGUAGGGAAUCUUCCGCAAUGGGCGAAAGCCUGACGGAGCAACGCCGCGUGAGUGAUGAAGGUCUUCGGAUCGUAAAACUCUGUUAUCAGGGAAGAACAAACGUGUAAGUAACUGUGCACGUCUUGACGGUACCUGAUCAGAAAGCCACGGCUAACUACGUGCCAGCAGCCGCGGUAAUACGUAGGUGGCAAGCGUUAUCCGGAAUUAUUGGGCGUAAAGCGCGCGUAGGCGGUUUUUUAAGUCUGAUGUGAAAGCCCACGGCUCAACCGUGGAGGGUCAUUGGAAACUGGAAAACUUGAGUGCANNNNAGGAAAGUGGNAUUCCAUGUGUAGCGNUGAAAUGCGCNNAGAUAUGGAGGAACACCAGUGGCG
rnacentral:rRNA from 1 species